rnacentral:tRNA from 1 species
GGAGAGGUGCCGGAGCGGUUUAACGGGUACGCCUGGAGAGCGUAAGUCCUGAGAAAUCGGGACCCAGGGUUCAAAUCCCUGCCUCUCCGCCA